UGGGACGUAGCUCAACGGUAGAGCUCUGGUCUCCAAAGCCAGUGGUUGAGGGUUCGAUUCCUUCCGUCCCGG
rnacentral:tRNA from 1 species